rnacentral:rRNA from 1 species
GACGAACGCUGGCGGCGUGCUUAACACAUGCAAGUCGAGCGGAGCGGCGAACGGGUGAGUAACGCGCGUGUAACUGCCCCCCUCUCUGGGAUAAAAGUUGGAAACGGCUGCUAAUACCGGAUAGUGGGGGAUGCCUCGGGGCCAAUCAGCUUGUUGGUGGGGUAGUGGCCUACCAAGGCGACGACGGGUAGCCGGCCUGAGAGGGCGACCGGCCACAUUGGGCUGAGGUAGGGCCCAAACUCCUACGGGGGGCAGCAGUGGGGAAUAUUGCACAAUGGGGGAAACCCUGAUGCAGCGACGCCGCGUGCGUGAUGACGGCCUUCGGGUUGUAAACCGCAGUCAGCCAUGACGCGGUAGUGGCAGAAGAAGCACCGGCUAACUACGUGCCAGCAGCCGCGGUAAUUC